UCCGGGGGGGGCAAUCGUUGUUCGGAAUUACUGGGCGUAAAGGGCGCGUAGGCGGGUGGACAAGUCUCUCGUGAAAGCCCACGGCUCAACCGUGGAAUUGCGGGAGAUACUGUCUGUCUUGAGUCCGGGAGAGGAGGGUGGAAUUCCCAGUGUAGCGGUGAAAUGCGUAGAUAUUGGGAGGAACACCGGUGGCGAAGGCGGCUCUCUGGACCGGUACUGACGCUGAGGCGUGAAAGCUAGGGGAGCAAACGGG
rnacentral:rRNA from 1 species